CUGGCGGUAUGCUUAUACAUGCAAGUCGUACGAGGGCUUUUAGCCCUAGUGGCGGACGGGUGAGUAACACGUGAGAAUCUGCCCUUAGGAGGAGGAUAACAGCUGGAAACGGUUGCUAAUACUCCAUAUGCCGGGAGGUGAAAGGAUUUAUCCACCUAAGGAGGAGCUCGCGUCUGAUUAGCUAGUUGGUGGGGUAAAGGCUUACCAAGGCGACGAUCAGUAGCUGGUUUGAGAGGAUGAUCAGCCACACUGGGACUGAGACACGGCCCAGACUCCUACGGGAGGCAGCAGUAGGGAAUUUUCCGCAAUGGGCGAAAGCCUGACGGAGCAAUACCGCGUGAGGGAUGACGGCCUGUGGGUUGUAAACCUCUUUUCUCAAGGAAGAAGUUCUGACGGUACUUGAGGAAUAAGCAUCGGCUAACUCUGUGCCAGCAGCCGCGGUAAUACAGAGGAUGCAAGCGUUAUCCGGAAUCACUGGGCAUAAAGCGUCUGUAGGUUGUUUAGUAAGUCUGCUGUUAAAGACUGGGGCUUAACCCCAGAAAAGCAGUGGAAACUGCUAGACUCGAGUGUGGUAGAGGUAGAGGGAAUUCCUAGUGUAGCGGUGAAAUGCGUAGAUAUUAGGAAGAACACCAAUGGCGAAGGCACUCUACUGGGCCAUAACUGACACUGAGAGACGACAGCUAGGGGAGCAAACGGGAUUAGAUACCCCGGUAGUCCUAGCCGUAAACGAUGGAUACUAGAUGUUGCACGUAUUAACCCGUGCAGUAUCGUAGCUAAGGCGUUAAGUAUC
rnacentral:rRNA from 1 species